AGAGUUUGAUCAUGGCUCAGGACGAACGCUGGCGGCGUGCUUAACACAUGCAAGUCGAACGGAAAGGCCCUUCGGGGUACUCGAGUGGCGAACGGGUGAGUAACACGUGGGUGAUCUGCCUCGUACUCUGGGAUAAGCCUGGGAAACUGGGUCUAAUACCGGAUAGGACCUUCUCUCGCAUGGGGGUUGGUGGAAAGUUUUUCGGUACGAGAUGGGCCCGCGGCCUAUCAGCUUGUUGGUGGGGUAAUGGCCUACCAAGGCGACGACGGGUAGCCGGCCUGAGAGGGCGACCGGCCACACUGGGACUGAGACACGGCCCAGACUCCUACGGGAGGCAGCAGUGGGGAAUAUUGCACAAUGGGCGCAAGCCUGAUGCAGCGACGCCGCGUGAGGGAUGACGGCCUUCGGGUUGUAAACCUCUUUCACCAAGGGCGAAUUUAGACGGUACCUGGAGAAGAAGCACCGGCCAACUACGUGCCAGCAGCCGCGGUAAUACGUAGGGUGCGAGCGUUGUCCGGAAUUACUGGGCGUAAAGAGCUCGUAGGCGGUUUGUCGCGUCGUUCGUGAAAACUUGAUGCUUAACAUCAAGCGUGCGGGCGAUACGGGCAGACUUGAGUACUACAGGGGAGACUGGAAUUCCUGGUGUAGCGGUGAAAUGCGCAGAUAUCAGGAGGAACACCGGUGGCGAAGGCGGGUCUCUGGGUAGUAACUGACGCUGAGGAGCGAAAGCGUGGGUAGCGAACAGGAUUAGAUACCCUGGUAGU
rnacentral:rRNA from 1 species